rnacentral:lncRNA from 1 species
CAAGGGUACAUGAAAAAGAAUUCAUAGGUUUACAAAAAAAAUAUUUUACUAUUUUGUUGCUGGCCAUUUUUAUUACCAGCCUUUUAUUUCAUUUUUAAAAAAAUUUGCAGUUAUAGACUUAUGUAAAAUAUAUUAAGGAAACAAGUAUAAUUGUGGGUAAAAACAAGUCUAACUGUAGGGGACUAAAGAUAAAACACUCAACUACGCAAACGUUAAUCAUAUUGGAAGC